rnacentral:misc_RNA from 1 species
GAUGAAGAACGCAGCGAAAUGCGAUAAGUAAUGUGAAUUGCAGAAUUCAGUGAAUCAUCGAAUCUUUGAACGCAUCUUGCGCUCCUUCGUAUUCCUUGGAGCAUGCCUGUUUGAGUAUCAUGAGCAAAUCUCAAAGUCAAUUCCUUUUGUUGAUUCAAUUGGUUUUGCUUUGGACUUGGAGGCCUUGCAGAUUUCACAGUCUGCUCCUCUUAAAUGCAUUAGCUGGAUCUCAGUAAUUAUGCUUGGUUCCACUCGGCGUGAUAAGUAUCACUCGCUGAGGACACUGUUAAAAAGGUGGCCAGGAAAAUACUGAUUGAACCGCUUCUAACGGUCUAUUAAGUUAGACAAUUACCCUUAAGUUUGAUCUCAAAUCAGGUAGGACUACCCGCUGAACUUAAGCAUAUCAAUAAGCGGAGGA